UUUUUUCUUUUUCUUUUUUUUUUCCUAAAAUCUGUUGCUGUCUUUCGUCCUGCACAACUGUGCGGACAGGGCAGGCUUUGGAAAGACCUUUGUGAGACCGCUCUCCCGAGCCAGAGAGGCUGAAUCGCCUCUCCUCUCCUUCCAAUUCACCUGCUUUUCACGCCAACAGAAACGCCCUUCCAGCUCCAACACGGGGCGGUCAUUUCCCAGCCAGGGUUUUGAACACUAAAUUGCAAACUCCGUUGCACCAAUCGCAUCUGGGGCUGUCUCCAAGUAUUCAAUAAACAAGCUGUAUUAACUCCAACCAGAAUUUAUCUCGUAGACUGAUGGAAUUCGUCUUUUUUUUUUUCGUUUGCUUCUUCUGCUUCUUUUUCCCCCAAGGCCUCAUAUUCACCACUCAAAAUUUAGCAGCCUGCCUUUGAUAAAUUACUCAAAGUAAUCCCUGCAACAGCUAAGUCUGACUGGUUGACGUUGCGUUAGAAGUCUUCAUAGCGGUAUCUGUCUAUAAAAUAUUCACUUGCGGACUACAAAGGGUGGAUCAUUUUUAAUGACAAGAUUCAGAACUGGAGGAUGAAGGGAAAAGAUUAAUAUCCGUGAAUUCAAAUAAUUUAAUUUCAAAUACUGAACUUAGAACAUUAUAUCCCACUAGUUUAAACACUGAUGCAGAUAAAAUAGCAGAUUCUCAGAUGAAUGGAGCGGCCGGAAGAAUAGAGUUGUGAGGAAUGUUGGAAAUGAACAUUAAUGCAAACUUUACAGGAACUUUUUUUUUUUUUCUAAUUCUACACCUUUCUAGGUUCUGUCUUCUGGGAUAAUCAGUAUUCUAGCAGGGCAAAAAUGUACAUGAUAUUACACGUACACGUGUGUAUUUCUAUAUAUGCAAGGAGAGAUUUUGUUUUCUCUAGAGAUAGAUGGAGAAAUCUAUUUAGAUGGAGGAUUUUAAUUUCAAUGGGUAAUGUGAGCUUGUGCAAUCAAAGUUAUCAAUUUCUGUCCUUUUUGUUUAGAUUUCUUAGUUAAAUGUGUUUGUUAUAUCUACCCUGAGGAGAAGCAACUUGAAAGUGUAGCUUUUGAGUCAUCUUAUAAAUACAUCCCUGAGGCUGCGGUUCUUGCCGCUUUAAGCAGUUUUCAUUAAAGCAGCCAGCUGCCUCUUUGUGUAGAUUGGAUUUUUUUAAAGCAAUCACUUGUGAAGCCCCGGCCUCAGUUUUGUCUCUCCGCAGGCCCUUAAAGUUGAAGUUUCAUUCAUGUCUUGGGUCUCUCCGCCGAAUCAGACUCCUCGGAGCAACACUGGAAAGAGCCACACGAAAGCACAGGCUUGAAUACCUCAUAGAGAAAGGUUAAAAAGGAAGCAGAGAUCAAAACAAUCCCAUCUCACAAAAGGUGCAUUAAAUGCGCCCCAGCAAUAAGCACAAAUCUUCCAAGUUGGCCUUUAAAGCGAGCACCAGGAGUCUCACGUUUAUUGCACCCAGCAAUUCUCUGAGCGACUCUCCACGUCUUUGCACUCCUGGAGCAUUUCCUCCUAAAACAACAUCUAAUGGGUAGAUAAUAGAGACGCGGAAAAGAGGCGCGGGGAUUUCUCCCCCUCCUCCUUUCCUUUCAGCUGCGUCUAUCUCAAGGUUUGGAGAGCAGAGUUUAAAAAAAAAAAAAAAAAAAAAAAG
rnacentral:lncRNA from 1 species